UACAUGGGGUGCAAACGUUGCUCGGAAUUAUUGGGCGUAAAGCGCGCGUAGGCGGUUACUUAAGUCGGAUGUGAAAGCCCUCGGCUUAACUGAGGAAGUGCACCCGAAACUGAGUAGCUAGAGUACGAAAGAGGGUCGCGGAAUUCCCGGUGUAGAGGUGAAAUUCGUAGAUAUCGGGAGGAACACCGGUGGCGAAGGCGGCGACCUGGGUCGAGACUGACGCUGAGGAGCGAAAGCCAGGGGAGCAAACGGG
rnacentral:rRNA from 1 species